CUGCAGGGCAGCUGGUGGCCUUGGACCCUGAGACCUCUUUGCCCACACAGAUGGCCCAGCUCACUGGAGCCAAGAGGGGAGCUGUUUUAUUCAGUUCAGAGAAAAUAGCUCUGUGUUCCUGACACACCACCCAGCAGGAAACAUCUGAAGUGUGACCAAGAGGAGCAGAGAGAUAUCAUCCAUCUUAACGAGGUCUGGAUUUCUAAGAUGCGGAACUGGAGAAUUUAAACAUCUCAUCACCAGCUUUCAACAUUGUGCUUUGUGCUACGAUAGUGUUUUGUGUGCAUUUGGGCUAAAUAAACUCCAUCUUGAAAAUGAA